rnacentral:rRNA from 1 species
UACGUGGGGAGCAAGCGUUGUCCGGAAUCAUUGGGCGUAAAGCGCGCGUAGGUGGCUUCGUAAGUCCGUUGUGAAAGUCAAAGGCUCAACCUUUGAAAGCCGAUGGAUACUGUGAAGCUAGAGUACGGAAGAGGCGAGUGGAAUUCCUGGUGUAGCGGUGGAAUGCGCAGAUAUCAGGAGGAACACCAAUAGCGAAGGCAGCUCGCUGGGACGUUACUGACACUGAGGCGCGAAAGCGUGGGGAGCGAACAGG